rnacentral:rRNA from 1 species
UGAACGCUAGCUACAGGCUUAACACAUGCAAGUCGAGGGGCAGCAUGGUCUUAGCUUGCUAAGGCCGAUGGCGACCGGCGCACGGGUGAGUAACACGUAUCCAACCUGCCGUCUACUCUUGGACAGCCUUCUGAAAGGAAGAUUAAUACAAGAUGGCAUCAUGAGUCCGCAUGUUCACAUGAUUAAAGGUAUUCCGGUAGACGAUGGGGAUGCGUUCCAUUAGAUAGUAGGCGGGGUAACGGCCCACCUAGUCUUCGAUGGAUAGGGGUUCUGAGAGGAAGGUCCCCCACAUUGGAACUGAGACACGGUCCAAACUCCUACGGGAGGCAGCAGUGAGGAAUAUUGGUCAAUGGGCGAGAGCCUGAACCAGCCAAGUAGCGUGAAGGAUGACUGCCCUAUGGGUUGUAAACUUCUUUUAUAAAGGAAUAAAGUCGGGUAUGGAUACCCGUUUGCAUGUACUUUAUGAAUAAGGGUUGGCUAACUCCGUGCCAGCAGCCGCGGUAAUACGGAGGAUCCGAGCGUUAUCCGGAUUUAUUGGGUUUAAAGGGAGCGUAGAUGGAUGUUUAAGUCAGUUGUGAAAGUUUGCGGCUCAACCGUAAAAUUGCAGUUGAUACUGGAUAUCUUGAGUGCAGUUGAGGCAGGCGGAAUUCGUGGUGUAGCGGUGAAAUGCUUAGAUAUCACGAAGAACUCCGAUUGCGAAGGCAGCCUGCUAAGCUGCAACUGACAUUGAGGCUCGAAAGUGUGGGUAUCAAACAGGAUUAGAUACCCUGGUAGUCCACACGGUAAACGAUGAAUACUCGCUGUUUGCGAUAUACUGCAAGCGGCCAAGCGAAAGCGUUAAGUAUUCCACCUGGGGAGUACGCCGGCAACGGUGAAACUCAAAGGAAUUGACGGGGGCCCGCACAAGCGGAGGAACAUGUGGUUUAAUUCGAUGAUACGCGAGGAACCUUACCCGGGCUUAAAUUGCAGAUGAAUUACGGUGAAAGCCGUAAGCCGCAAGGCAUCUGUGAAGGUGCUGCAUGGUUGUCGUCAGCUCGUGCCGUGAGGUGUCGGCUUAAGUGCCAUAACGAGCGCAACCCUUGUUGUCAGUUACUAACAGGUUCCGCUGAGGACUUGACAAGACUGCCAUGUAAGAGUGAGGGAAGUGGGGAGACGUCAAAUCAGCAGGGCCCUUUACGUCGGGGGCUACACACGUGUUACAAGGGGGGUACAGAGGGCCGCUACCACGCGAGUGGAUGCCAAUCCCCAAAACCUCUCUCAGUUCGGACUGGAGUCUGCAACCCGACUCCACGAAGCUGGAUUCGCUAGUAAUCGCGCAUCAGCCACGGCGCGGUGAAUACGUUCCCGGGCCUUGUACACACCGCCCGUCAAGCCAUGGGAGCCGGGGGUACCUGAAGUGCGUAACCGCGAGGAGCGCCCUAGGGUAAAACUGGUGACUGGGGCUAAG